CCUACGGGAGGCAGCAGUAGGGAAUCUUGCGCAAUGGGCGAAAGCCUGACGCAGCAACGCCGCGUGGGGGAUGAAGGCCCUCGGGUUGUAAACCCCUUUCAGCAGGAACGAAUCUGACGGUACCUGCAGAAGAAGGCCCGGCCAACUACGUGCCAGCAGCCGCGGUAACACGUAGGGGCCAAGCGUUGUCCGGAUUUAUUGGGCGUAAAGAGCUCGUAGGCGGUUCAGUCAGUCGGGUGUGAAAACUCUGGGCUCAACUCAGAGACGCCACCCGAUACUGCUGUGACUUGAGUCCGGUAGGGGAGCAGGGAAUUCCAGGUGUAGCGGUGAAAUGCGCAGAUAUCUGGAGGAACACCGGUGGCGAAGGCGCUGCUCUGGGCCGGUACUGACGCUGAGGAGCGAAAGCGUGGGUAGCAAACAGGAUUAGAUACCCCAGUAGU
rnacentral:rRNA from 1 species